rnacentral:rRNA from 1 species
GAGAGUUGGGUAGUCCGCACGAGCGCACCUCACUUUUAGUUGCCAUCAUUAAGUUGGGCACUCUGAAAGAACUGCCAGUGAUAAGCUGGAGGAAGGUGGGGAUGACGUCAAGUCCUCAUGGCCCUUACGUGUUGGGCUACACACGUGCUACAAUGGUAUCUACAACAGGAAGCAAGACUGCGAGGUCAAGCAAAUCCUUAAAAGAUACCUCAGUUCGGAUUGCACUCUGCAACUCGAGUGCAUGAAGCUGGAAUUACUAGUAAUCGUGGAUCAGCGUGCCACGGUGAAUGCGUUCCCGGGUCUUGUACACACCGCCCGUCACACCAUGGGAGUUGGUUCUACCUUAAGGCAAGGUUUCAAACCCUUGACCACGGUAUAGUCAGCGACUGGGGUGAAGUCGUAACAAGGUAGCCGUAGGGGAACCUGCGGCUGGAUUACCUCCUUUCU